GCUGAUGACACCCAGCUAUAUCUCUCCACCCCGGACCUCUCCCCUGCUGUCCUGCAACGUGUCACUGCUUGCCUUUCUUCCAUCUCUGACUGGAUGUCCUCCCGCUUUCUGAAACUCAGUCUCUCAAAAACUGAGCUCCUUGUCUUUCCUCCUCCUAAUACUGAUCCUCCUCUUUCGCUCUCUCUUCAAGUUUGUGGUACCAACAUCAGCCCAUCCUUGCAAGCGCGCUGUCUUGGC